rnacentral:lncRNA from 1 species
AUACACAGAGAACCACGUGGAGGAAAAGCACGCGAGUUUGGAGCGGGUGGAGCAGGAACAGAGGUGGACUGGAAUGUCACACGACGGGGCAGCUGGAAGGGCACCACUGAGUUCAGUACUUCAAAAUUGCCGUGCUCUACCUCUCCCCAGUGCACAAAAACACUCUCCACACCAAGCUGCUGCUGCUGGGGGAUGGAGGGAUGGCGUCAGCGAUUCAAGACUGUUUUUCCUACCUGUUCAGCACUUCUUUCAGCGAUAUGAAGUUAAAUCCAGGUGCACGCGAAGGCCUCAACCAUCUGGAGAACACCUGCUGCAACAGAGUCACACAGGCUAGAGUGCAGUGGCAUGAUCUCAGCUCCCCACAACCUCUGCCUCCGAUGUUCAAGCGAUUCUCCUGUCUCAGCCUCCUGAGUAGCUGGAAUUACAGAAACCAGGGAAGCCAGAAACCCAACCUACUUUCUCCAUCUCUCAAGGCCUCCCCAGUAGCCAAGACUUCUCUGUCUCAAGGGUCUCACAUCCCUUGGGGACCAGCCUCCCCAGAGGGCAUGCUUUCUCGCCUGCCGGCCUUCCACCAUGGGAUGAAGCAGCAAGAAGGCUCUUGCCAGAGGCAGACCCCUCGACCUUGGACUUCCCAGCCCCCAGAACUGUAAGAAAUAAAUCUCUCUUCUUUAUA